ACGUUUGCUGUAGGAAUGUUCAGCUGCAAGGCCACGUGCUCCACAAUGCUCUGAAACCCUCCGGAGACCAAGAAGACCUGGACCCCUCGUUGAUGAAGCCUGCUCACCAGCUCCCUGAGGAGAAAGAGCAUCACAAGUGGACUUCAGUGCAUGGGUAGCUCUGAACAAUGGAUUUCCUAAGCUGAGUCCAGAGAUGUGACUGCACAUGGAAGUGUAAGAGAGAGGUAAUGCAGCUGCAGAACAGACCAAGCCAGGAGUUCAUACUGGGUAUUAAAUCUCCAUCACCCAUCAAAAACCAGACCUGACUGAACAGAUUAUUUUCCAUGCCAUUUAAUCCUGAAGCCAGCAUUUGAGCUUGCUAGCCAAAACAACAGGUAAUACCUAAGGCAGUUUUCUUUUUACAUGGAUGCUCAGCCACUUGACAUGGACUCAAGCCAUUAUAAGCUCCUGAUGCAAGUUUUGUACACAAACAACAUGGAAAUGGAGCAGGAAGGCAACCUAAACCAGCUCUGUUGUCUUACAGCCUCACUAAUGUCACCAAAUUACAUUGAUUUAUGCCCUGUG